AUUCGAUGGAAUGGGUUUCCAGGCUCCUUGCUUGUGCAUCGAACUGUAAGCUCCCCGUCCUCUUCAUAGUUAUCCCCAAGCAUGUCGCGUGUCUUGUGGGUGCGUUUGGUAUCCUGUAUGGACUACCGAUGCAACGGUAUUCGAUUUUCUUGAUGCCUACAUUCGCCCGGCGCCUGUUAGGGUGUUGGCCGAACAAUAGGAAAGCCCCGUGCUCCAAGUGUGCAUUGCAAUUUUGCAUGGCUGCCGUGGCGCACGGGCUUGUGCCCGUUCUUUCGGAUGCUGAUCGUUAUGCGCGUUGACGGGGGGUUUCGAACUCUACUCGUCUGCUCUACGCACUUAUCCCUUGACACGAACGACUGCUGCACUUGUUUUGG
rnacentral:misc_RNA from 1 species